rnacentral:rRNA from 1 species
CCUACGGGAGGCAGCAGUCGAGAAUCAUUCACAAUGGGGGAAACCCUGAUGGUGCGACGCCGCGUGGGGGAAUGAAGGUCUUCGGAUUGUAAACCCCUGUCAUGUGGGAGCAAAUUAAAAAGAUAGUACCACAUGAGGAAGAGACGGCUAACUCUGUGCCAGCAGCCGCGGUAAUACAGAGGUCUCAAGCGUUGUUCGGAAUCACUGGGCGUAAAGCGUGCGUAGGCUGUUUCGUAAGUCGUGUGUGAAAGGCGCGGGCUCAACCCGCGGACGGCACAUGAUACUGCGAGACUAGAGUAAUGGAGGGGGAACCGGAAUUCCCGGUGUAGCAGUGAAAUGCGUAGAUAUCGGGAGGAACACUAGUGGCGAAGGCGGGUUCCUGGACAUUAACUGACGCUGAGGCACGAAGGCCAGGGGAGCGAAAGGGAUUAGAUACCCCAGUAGUC